GGAUGCGAUCAUAGCAGCACUAAAGCACCGGAUCCCAUCAGAACUCCGAAGUUAUGGGUGCUUGGGCGAGAGUAGUACUAGGAUGGGUGACCUCGUGUUGCAUUCC
rnacentral:rRNA from 2 species